rnacentral:rRNA from 1 species
AGUGAACGCUGGCGGUAGGCCUAACACAUGCAAGUCGAACGAGUGGCGGACGGGUGAGGAAUACAACGGAAUCUACUCUGUCGUGGGGGAUAACGUAGGGAAACGUACGCUAAUACCGCAUACGAUUGAAUGAGCCGAGGUCGGAUUAGCUAGUUGGGGGGGUAAAGGCCCACCAAGGCGACGUUCCGUAGCGGGUCUGAGAGGAUGAUCGGCCACACUGGAACUUAGACACGGUCCAGACUCCUACGGGAGGCAGCAGUGGGGAAUAUUGGACAAUGGGCGCAAGCCUGAUGCAGCCAUGCCGCGUGGGUGAAGAAGGCCUUCGGGUUGUAAAGCCCUUUUGUUGGGAAAGCGGUACCCAAAGAGUAAGCACCGGCUAACUUCGUGCCAGCCGCCGCGGUAAUUC